UACGUAGGCAGCGAGCGUUGUUCGGAGUUACUGGGCGUAAAGGGUGUGUAGGCGGUUGUUUAAGUUUGGUGGGAAAUCUCCCGGCUCAAUUGGGAGGGUGCGCCGAAUACUGAAUGACUUCGAGUGCGGGAGAGGAGAGUGGAAUUCCUGGUGUAGCGGUGAAAUGCGAAGAUAUCAGGAGGAACACCGGUGGUGUAGACGGCUCUCUGGACCGUAACUGACGCUGAGACACGAAAGCGUGGGUAGCAAACAGG
rnacentral:rRNA from 1 species